rnacentral:rRNA from 1 species
GCGACCCCAGGAUGGGCGAGGCCACCCGCUGAGUUUUAA